UUCCGCUUUGCUGUUUGCAGGGUACAGUUGGAGAGGACCCACAACUCAGAGCCAGUUUUCUUUAAUAAAAGAACCAAGGAGGGGGAGACAGGAAACUCUGGAGCUUCGCUCUGACUUCAGCUUUUGGAAAGAUCUAUACUUUUUUAAAUGGAGCUGUUUGAGAUGGACGGCUUCAAGCUUCCUAGGGGGGACUUGGAUGACUCUGAGAAGCAGGGCAGGUUUUGGCCACAGUGGGAGUUCCCCCUUCUCUGGGUCACUGAGCAGAGAGCACUGAAGGAGGAGGCCGGAUCCUGGCUUGGAGCUGGACUCUGCUUGGUCGGAAAUGCCCACACCUCGUCUUCCUUCCUCCAGGUCCUCACUGCGGCAGGGACCCAAAAGGAAAUGAUGAAGGAAAUGACUUCAGAAAAACUUGGAAAGAUGGACAUGAACUGAUGCAAAGUGAAGUGAGCAGAACCAGGAGAAACUGGUACACCAUAACAGCAAUAAGGUAUGAUGACCAACUCUGAACGAUUUAACUAUUGUCAGCCUUGCAAGGAGUCAAAACAGCUCUGAGAGACUCAAAAUGAGAAAGGCAAUCAACCACCAUAGAACAAACUGAUGGAGUCAAUGCAGAUUGAAGCAUAACAUUUUUCAUUUUAUUUCCUUCAUGAGUUUUUCCUUGUAUGUACAAUAUGUAUCUUCUUUCAUAACAUGAUGAAUAUGAAAAUAUGUAUUGCAUGACCACACAUACAUAACUUAUAUCAGAUUAUUUGCUGUCUUAGGGAGGGAUUAAAGGAGGGAGAGAAUUUGGAUCACAAAAUGCCAGAAAACAAAUGUCAAAAAUUGCUUCUACAUGUAAUUGGGGAAAAAAUUAAAUAUUAUUGGAAGGAGGAAAACCUAUAUAGAAUUAGAGUGAAAUUAGCAGAACCAAGAAAACAUUAUAUACAGCGACUGAAAUAUUGUUUGAAGAAUAACCAGAUAUCCCCCUCCAGAGAAGGUACUGAUAAAUAAAAAAUGCUCAUGAUAUAGUUUUAUAUAUACU
rnacentral:lncRNA from 1 species